UUCUGCUGUAGGCAACGAGCUAAGGCCCUAUUUUGUUAAUGCCCGUGUUGAGGAUGGGACAACUGUGUUCUCUUUCAUAAAGCGUGGAGCGCUACGGUUUGAAAUAUGCAUCAGGCUACUUCACGUAAGAGUUCCAUCCGGAACUAGUUCAGCAUGAUUUGCGGAAUGAGUAUUCAGCUCUCAGCAUGUAUGGUAUAACUGAUAACAUUGUUUUGCCAGACCUGCAAUAUACCCUUCGAGUUUUUAGGGAGACUGAUAAGUCUCCCUAUAGUAUAUGUAACAGCCGUAGACACUUGUAUCCUCCUUAGAAUAAUGGGAAGGCAGUGGCCGGGUGCUCACCAUAGUAACGAACCUUGGAAGACAUUCGAGCAUAAUAUUCGAACGAUUCGAACCUUGUAAAACUCUCGGGGCUCAGAAGUUGGAUCAGUUACCAUUCGACGCUGAGAGGGUGCGCUGCGGAGACCAGAGGAAGAACGGCGGUACAAUAGUAUGUGUCCAGAUGGUGUGUACGCGGCCAGGCACCGGGAAGACAUCACCUCGUGGAAGUGUUCACAGAAAGGGAGUUAAGGCCUGAGUCCUGCUGGGAAAGAAUAGUGCAACCUUUGCAACCUAUCAAUGGAUCCCAACAUGCAGUGUGGAGACAGGACCUGCUUGUGGCAAGGGGUGUUCUAUUGAUCCAGGAAGCAGGAAAUGGAGAGGCGAGGCGUUAUGAGUAACUUUUCUAAUGUACCAUGAAGGAUGGAGUUGGAGAAGUGAAAUGGUUGAAUGCUCCAUGAGAGGAAUUAACACUGCACUAGUCCUGCUAGCUGCCCGUGGCCCCUUGUGGGGGUAGAUAGAAAAUGCCAAGCAGAGCUGGGUCUCCAUUCUCCCCAGGAAGGGGAGGAGGGCAAGUUCCUUAUUGCUGCCUGUGUGAAUUUAAAGGAACUGACUGAAGAAUGAAAAAGGAGAAUAAGUUAUAGAAGCAUUCAGGAGAGGAAAGGUAUUUUUAGGUAUUAGUGAAACCCACAAAUUAUGUGGUGCAUGGACUUGUGUAAAUAGUGAUGAAAAUAGUUUGUGAGAAUGCAGAGAGAAAAGAACUGGUAUGAGCAGCAGAUGAAAAGGGAAUAGGAAAGGAAGGGGGUGCAUUAUUGGUCUCCAAGAGUAUAAAUGAAAUUGGAUGGAAUGGAUUGAUGAUAGUGUAGACGACUGGUAGGACUGGUGUGGGUAUGUACAUAAGUCCUAAUGGUUGUGAAAAGGAGAAUAAAGAAAAUUGUUAACCUGUCCUAUGCAUCAGAGGUGUGGAUGAGUGGUGUAGCGUGCAAGAUCCAUUUUGUGUGUUGAGGUGGGAUGGAGAAGGCAUUAGAUCAUGAAUGAAAGGUUUGGUAAAGGUGUGACAGCAAAAUCAGUGAGUUGUGGAGUGAAGCAUGGUGCUUUGAGAUGGUUGGCCACAUGAUGUAAAUGAAUAAGUAUGAGUUUGUGAAGAGAAUUUUGAGAGCAGGAUUGAGGAGAGGUUGUCAUGGGGAGACCACUUGUGAAAUGGGUUUUCAGAUGAUUAAUGGAAAAAGAUAGUUGGUAGAUGAGAGAAUGUGUGUACCGAGAGAAAGUGACUGAACAGGGAGAUUUGGUGUGACUGCCCCCUUGAGGGAACAUGGCAUUGGAGAUGGGUAUAGUACUCCUACAUAAAAAUGUGGUGAUUCGAUGUAAAUUUUGCAGAGGAUCACGUCUAUCAGCCUGCCGUGAAGUCUGCUCCUCUGAACUCAAUCAUGGUAGAGGCUGUGCUGUCCUCACUCCUGCCAGUAUACUGCCCAUGCCUGCCUCGAUCCUCCCAGCCUUCCUUCUUCCAAGAGAGGCAGUGGCUGAAUGGUUAGUGUGCAGGUCCUGCGUUCACCAUGUUCUGGACAAUGGGUUUUCAAAUCCUCUGCUGCCAAGUGGCAUAAGGCUACCCACGUGCUGUCCUGAAGAUCAACCCCAACUCUAGAGGAACUGUCCAAGUGAAUCAAGAAUGAGCUCCGGCAGGCAGCAUGAGCCAAGAAUAAAUGAUGCUGCUAUAAACACUUGCUUGGGUCGACCACCAGGCCCCUGAAGAAAGUCUACCGGUGCUAUAGGCCAGAGCAUAAAAUAAAAAAAACUUGGCUUGGAGUUUGUCAGCUCUUUUCCCCAACAGUGCCAGAUGUUUGACUGACAACUGGAUUGUCCUUACACGGUGUACUACACAUCUCUAUCCAGAUUGGUACAGGUGCUUAUUGGAGGGUUCCAACGCCUGGCCACACCUGAAAGAAAGUGACACCAAUAUUAGAAUAUCCCUCCACCCUCAACAAGCUGCAAUAUCAUGAAAAACUUUAAUUUGAUUGUUACAAAGGUUUUACUAAUGCAUUUGUUAUUCAUUAAAUAUACUGAUGGGAUAAUUAAUCUAGUUUUAUUUUAAAAUUGUUCCAAUUCUUCUCCAGAGCCACUGACUUCUUUUUUUUAACCGGUUAAUCUUGGACCUAAUCAUAUAUUCCUUACCAAUUUUCGUCAAAUAAGUAGCAACACUCCACUAUCCCUAUGCUCAGGGAAAUGGCUUAUUAAAUCAAUUUGUAUAAUCAAAAUUUAUAAUUAAUGAGACUGGAGGAAAUAUAGGAAAAGCAAAUGACUUGUCAAAUUGACUAAAGUUCCUGGAAAAUGAUCAGUGGCAGUAAACAAAUGAAACAAAAAAAAACUGAUGAAGUACAAAGAUUAGGAAAAAAGCUACGUGGAUGACAGAGCUGGGAUAA